rnacentral:rRNA from 1 species
UACGUAGGGUGCAAGCAUUAAUCGGAUUUACUGGGCGUAAAGGGCGCGUAGGCGGGUCUGUAAGUCAAGUGUGAAAUUCCGGAGCUCAACUUCGGAGCGGCAUUUGAAACUGUAGAUCUAUAGAGGGAUGGCGGAGAAAAUGGAAUUCCACAUGUAGCGGUGAAAUGCGUAGAUAUGUGGAAGAACACCAGUGGCGAAAGCGGCUCACUGGCCCGGAACUGACGCUGAUGUACGAAAGCGUGGGGAGCAAACAGGAUUAGAAACCCUUGUAGU